rnacentral:rRNA from 1 species
UACGUAGGGGGCAAGCGUUGUCCGGAUUUAUUGGGCGUAAAGAGCGUGUAGGCGGCUAGGUAGGUCCGUUGUGAAAACUCGAGGCUCAACCUCGAGACGUCGAUGGAAACCAUCUAGCUAGAGUCCGGAAGAGGAGAGUGGAAUUCCUGGUGUAGCGGUGAAAUGCGCAGAUAUCAGGAAGAACACCCGUGGCGAAGGCGGCUCUCUGGUACGUGACUGACGCUGAGAGACGAAAGCUAGGGGAGCGAAUGGG